GAAAGGAAGACAGUCACUUGGGCCUCUGCACUAAAUACCACAGGCUCUGUUUACUUGACUGUAAUGUCCAAACAAGAUCCCCAUGCCCUUCUAAGGAAUAUUCCAUACAAAGGUUAAGUUUCUGAAAAGCUUCUUAGGAUGGAUGACAAACCACAGCUGACAGUGAACUGGUAGAAGACCACAUUUACUUAUUUGUACAAAAGUGUUUUCCGAGCACUUGCUAUACGCUCCGCACGAAGAAGAUGUACAAACAGGCUGCCUGUGCGCGGCCUCUCCCCGGGGCCGAGCUCAGACUGUGGGAAGGGCAUCUUUGGGGCACGAUGACCGUGUAAUAACAGUGCUGUGACUAAGGCACAGACAGAGCACUGCAGAGCCACUGAGGCAAGAACAGUAAGUGUUACCCGGGACUGCUAAAGACACUUCCUGGAAGAGGCAUCUAGGCUGGACUUGAGGAACGCAAACAGUGUGGGGAGAAGGAGCAGAAAGGGGCAGGAAGGUGAGCCUAAGAUUGAACUCUGCUGUGCUGAUACACCGGGAGCUGCUGAAGAACAGGGUGAACAUUGACCCUGGUGGCAGGGGCCUGCAACCCCAGAGUGUGGCAACUGAGGCCAAAGUUCAGAUACCGGUCUAGAGAAGAUGAAAGCAGGACAGACAGACGUCAGGGUAGCUCAUUCGAACAGAUGUCAGGGCUGGGAUGCUGCGUGUGUGUGUGUGUGUGUGUGUGUGUGUGUGUGUGUGUGUGUGACCGCACAGGACAGCAGUGUGAGUGUGACCGCACACUGUUUUUCCUUACUUUCCCUUUAAGGACACAGAAUCACACACAGAAUAGUGCUAUUUGCUUCUGGGUAAACACCAACAGUUUUCUAGUAAAAUCCAAUCAAUUCAUACUUUAAUUACAUAUAUAUUUAGUUACAUAUUAUGUUAUAAUGUAACUAGGCCUGAAACACAGAGUUAAUAAUAUAAUUCAAGCCUAGUUUAUGAUUUUUUUCUUUAGUAGUGGAAAUACUUUUUAAAAUUUUAUGUGUAUUGUGUUUUGCCAGCAUAUAUGUCUGUAUACCACAUACAUGCCUGAUGCCAAAGAGGGCAGAAGAGGCUGUAGGAUCCCCGGAACUGAAGUCAGAGUGGUGGCUCUAGGAAUUAGUGCCUGGUUCUCUGAAAAAAGUUUAAAUGAGUUUUAUAAACCAGAUACCCUAAUACUUUUCUCUCUCACCAUGUAGAGACCAGGACUCUGCUUCGGAACCUUAACAGAGACUCCUGAGCUGCAGCAUUCCCAGAGUCCAGGGUGCAGCCUGUAUAUCUAGCGGAAAGCAUCCCAUGCCUUGCUGCACUACCAAACGGGAAGGUAAUUCCAGUGUACGCCCACUAGAUCCACCACAAUGGCAGGAUAACAAAGUAGGCCAAGGUCUGGCCCCUGCCUAUCGCCUGCCUUUCCUUCCUCCUCUACCACCCCAGGGUCAGCUGAAAAGAUGAACACCUCUCAGUCCAGAACACGCUGAGUUGUCUGUGGCUGCUGGGCCUCUACCCAGCAUUUUUCCUGUUUAAAUGCCUGCACUGACUUUCCCGCCCUCCCACAUACGUGACUUGAUCUCACCGCCACGGGCAUUCUAUUCAGUCCUACACACUACUCCUGUAGAGUCACUCCCACCAUCACAGGGCCCAGAAGGAUAUAAGGCAUUAAACAACUAUCUGCUAAACUAAACUUGAAGUUACUAAAGAAAAAAUUUGAGAUGUUUCUAGUAUGUUUCCUUUUAGGACCAAAGUUUUGAGCAAAAUGACAAGGUUCUGAAAUAUAAGACGCAAUAAAAACACUAUGCAGUUAGUUUCUGGGCUCCCCUUUCCGGCUGGCAGAACAGGCUCAAGUGCAGAGUGCUGGUCUGUGACUGGCAGGAGGAAAUGGGACAGUAGCCUUUCCUUUUCAACACUGCUCUGUGUUCUGUAUUUUCUUUAAUUAUCAAAAUGUCAGUGUACUUAUGGCCUCUAUUUAUUUCAUGCUUUAAAAUGAUCUGUUGAACACUUCGACCUCUGAUGGUGCCCUGCCUACAUGAUGUGCUGGUGUAGUCAAUAGCUCUCAAAAGUUAUGGGGUAACUGACCACUAUCUGAUAGGAUUUAAGGCCUGACUCUGCCUGGGUGGCUAAGAACCUGGGAUGAGGGAGGCAAUGGACCCAGGGAGGGAAAUCAAACACUACUGCUCUGCUUAAAGAGUGUAGCAAUAUAAUUACUCCUAACAACACUGGGCUAGACCCAUGGAUUAGUGCCUUGCUCAGCCAGCAUCAAAGAAGCUUCUUCCGGAAGUAAAUGGGAACAAAUAGAGACCCACAACCAGACAUUAUACAGAGAGCGAGAGACCUUGGACCACCCAGUUCUAAAUGGGAUGGCACCAUCAAAUCCCUCUCCUCAGGGUCCAGAAAACCCUGCAGAACUAAGAGCCAGAGGGGAUGGAAAGGAAGCAUGCAUAUAUGAGCUCAGAGACUCUGGCAGUGUGCACAGGGCUUGCACAGGCCUAAGCCAGAUGGAGUCCCAGCAUGGAGAAGAUAUGAUCUCCCAUCCCUAACCCAGAAGCUAUCUCCAUUCACAACACUCACAAAGGAAAAAUUAGUUUUCGCCAAAGGAGUCGCACUGAGCGUGUGUGUGUGCGUGUGUGGUGUAUACUCAAGCAAAGCAAAACAAAACACUUAAAGGCCACCAUCAUGCCCAGCGGCAGAUGCCAACACAAAAUGAACUUGAUGGUAAUUUUUGGAGAUUUUUUUUGGCUUAUAAUACUUUAUUUGGGCAUUUUUUACCUUAGUGGUCUUUUGCUUGUAUAUUAUGGUUUCCGAUGUUGUGUUUUUACAGGUUUUCCAUGUGUGUGAGCAUGUGUAUGGACUUAUCUUGCUUUUUUUCUCUCCCUGUUUGUUUUGUUCUUUUCUGGUUUUUAUGUGUAUUUGACUGUUUUUUAAAGAGACAGAAAGAAGGCAUGAAGUUGGAUGGGUGGGGAGGCUGGAAGGAUCUGGGAGAAGAUGAAGGAGGAGACAGGGUGAUCAAAAUAUAUUGUAUGAACAAAAAUCUAUUUCUUGUUAUUGUUGUUGUUUGAGGUUUCUCUGUGUAACCCUACCUGUUCUGGAACUCACUCUGUAGAUCUGGCUGGCCAUUAAACUCACAGAUAUCCACCUGC